CCAUAGAGCGUUGGAACCACCUGAUCCCAUCCCGAACUCAGCAGUGAAACGAUGCAUCGCCGAUGGUAGUGUGGGGUUUCCCCAUGUGAGAGUAGGUCAUCGUCAAGA
rnacentral:rRNA from 1 species